AUUAGAAUUGAUGUGAGUUCUUUUUUUAUGUGUUUUCAAAGAUAGAACUUUAUCUGGACCGUUGGGAUACGUCUCAUCGGCCAGUCUCCAACUUUAAAACCAUUGCUGUUUGAGGUUACUUCUGAGGUCUGACCUUGGUUAAGCGAUCCAUGAAAUGGUGAUGACCUGAGGCUUGGAACAUUU
rnacentral:snoRNA from 1 species